CCUACGGGUGGCAGCAGUGAGGAAUAUUGGUCAAUGGACGAGAGUCUGAACCAGCCAAGUCGCGUGAAGGAUGACUGCCCUCUGGGUUGUAAACUCCUUUUAUAAAGGAGUAAAAGGAAGCACGUGUGCCCUUGUCCAUUUACGUUAUGAAUAAAGAUCGGCUAAGUCCGUGCCAGCAGCCGCGGUAAUAUGGAGCAUCCGAGCGUUGUCCGGAUCUAUUGGGUUUAAAGCGAGCGUAGAUGGGUUGUUAAGUCAGAUGUGAAAGCUUGCGGCGCAACCGGAGAAGUGCAAUUGAUACUGGCAGUCUUGAGUACAGUAGAGGGAGGCGGAAUUCGAGGUGUAGCGGUGAAAUGCUUAGAGAUCAGGAAGAACACCGAUUGCGAAGGCAGCCUACUAAACUGUGACUGACAUUGAGGCUCGAAAGUGUGGGGAUCAAACAGGAUUAGAUACCCCUGUAGUC
rnacentral:rRNA from 1 species